rnacentral:other from 1 species
GGUUCCCUGGGUUGUUCGCCAGUCGAUAUGUCCUCGACCCUUUACGCGAUAACCAGGAGGUCUUUUUUCAUCGACCAUGUGCAUGUCCGUUCAGCGGAAAGCCUGAGGUCAUAAGGAGACCACCGCCUUGAACCGCAGGGUUCAAGGGCCUAUUAGUACAGCGGCAAUUUGGGGAACUA